AUCUCCAAUCGCGUAUAUUAAAGUUGUUGUGGUUGAAAAGCUCGUAGUUGGAUCUCAACAGACCCGGGUCGGUUUACUUUGUGUAAUACUGAUCCGGUACUGUGCUUUUGCUGGAGGUUCAGGGGUGCUCUUAACCGAGUGUCUCUGAGUGCCUGCAGGUUUACUUUGAAAAAAUUAGAGUGCUCAAAGCAGGCUUUUACGCCUGAAUAUUCGUGCAUGGAAUAAUAGAAUAGGAAGUCGUUUCUAUUUUGUUGGUUUUCGGAAAUCGACUUAAUGAUUAAUAGGGACAGUCGGGGGCAUUUGUAUUCAAACGACAGAGGUGAAAUUCUUGGACCGUUUGAAGACAAACUACUGCGAAAGCAUUUGCCAAGAAUGUUG
rnacentral:rRNA from 1 species